GCGCCCUAGAGCCUGCGCAUUUGCGUCCCAGCGGAACAGGACCCACGCAAUGGCCUGUGCACUUUGGGCUCGCCUCCGGUAUCCGAUCCUGUAUCCGCACAGUGGGACCCCGAGACUCGCUCUGUCGCCCGCGAGCCCUGGAUCUGGACGCAGGGAGAACGCAGCCAGUCCGCGCUGCAGCGGGGAAACGUGCCUUUCUGCAGACACAGGGACCACGAGUUUACACUGGACCUGGGAGCUGGGGCGGGAACGCGGAGAACUGCAGACCGGGAGCUGGGGGCGGUGGACUGGGAUCCCGGGCAGGAGAAUUCUCCCUGAAUCAUGUGUGGAGUUCCCUAACGCGCCUGCGUUCCAAACAUCACCUCACCAUCAUCAUCGUCAUUAUGAUUGCGCAGCUUGGGCAGCCCCGCAUGGGGGCAAGGGGUGACACACAGAGAGAGAGAAGGGUCCACGGAUUCCCAAGGUGCCCCGGAUCCAGGGUGCUGAGAUGCAAAGAGGAGAGGGUGAGUGGGGUGGAAUGGAAGGAGGGAAAGAGCUGGAGCUAAGGUGAGGGCAGGGUGGGGCCAGGGGAGAAUGAAAACCCAGCCUGUUGGUGGUUUCUUCUUUUUUUUUUUUAAGAGCCACAAGCUGAGAUCAAAGGUGAUAUUUUUACAGCAACUGAAAUAGAAAACCACUGGGCACACAGUGGGAGGUGAGCAGCCGGCACACAGGCCCCUCUCUGCAGCCUGUGGCCACAGCAAGCGCGCCGCCCUCUGCCAUGGGGUGUGGGGGACAGUGUGGUGGGGAUCUUCCCAAUUCAGGUUCAAAGAAGAUGUGAAGGGGAUGAGCCACAACCCUUGGUGCUGAGAGAGGAGAGAGAGAGCCAUGAAGGAUCACUAGUCCAACAUCCUUUCUGUUCUGUGCACCCACUCACCUGCUCACUCACCGAAUCCUGUGUGGAACUAGCUGGCCCCCGCAUACCAGGAGCCAUACUCAGGCCCACCAGAGCAGUGGUUCUCUGAGUGUGGGCCCCACACCAGCAGAGUCAGCAUGACCUGGAACAUGCUAGAAAUGCACAUUCUCAGGCCCCAACCCAGACGUACUGCUCCAGAAACUCUGGGGUGGGCCCAGCCCUCAGGGUUUUAACAAACUCUCCAGAUGACUCUGCACACUCAGUUGGAGAAUCACUGUGCUGCAUGACUUCAGUUUCCACAUUGCUGCUUUGGGGAAAAUAACACGUGUCUCACAAGGUUGAGCCCAGUAUUAGCUAACACAUGUGCUAGAUGCGCCACCUGUGCCAGAUAUCCUUCUAAUCCCUUUAUAACACACCUAACUCCUCACCGACUCUGAGAUAGGAACUAAUAUUAUCUUCAUUUAUUUCCUGAGAUGAGGAAAUGCAGGCACAGAGAGGCACAGUAACUUGGCCAGGGUCACACAGCUAGUAGGCAACAGAGCUUUGGAAUCUACGGUUUUUAAAGCUCCCCAACAAAAAGCCUCCAGCAGUGAGUCUGGCUCCCAGAAUGUGUUCUGGGCAUGGUUGAGAAUGUGAUGAUGGCAGUUAGCAUUACCUCACCUGAACUUGCGAUGAUGAUCCCCGUUUUGUAGAUGUGAAAUCUGCUGCCUUGUCAAGAUCAGGGAGUGAGUCAGCUGCAGAGGCAGCCUGAGGGUCUGAAACCCAUGUGGCCACAGGCCCUCACCAUUCACAAAGCUUGGAGAUCACAAUAUAGCAUUCUGGUCUUCUAGAAACAUCCCAGCGUGUUGCAGGUGGAAUGUGGGCUCUGACAGAGGUGGGAUGGAACCCUAGUUUGGCCACUCAGGGGCUGUGUAACCUUGAGCAAAUCAUCUCCCCUCUCUGAGCCUCCGUUUCCUCCUGUGAAGGGCUUGGUGACAGUUCUUACUUUGUAGGGUUCCUGUGAGGGCUGGAGAAGAUGACGUUUGUGCCCAGCCCAGAGCGUGCAUGAUUGGGUAUCAGAAAGCAACUUGUCCCUCUCUCUUCCCCCUUCCUGCUGCCACCUUGGUGGAAACACCAGCUUAGGACCCAGAAAAGUCCUGGGAGAAGAAGAACUAAGUUCCCAAGUGAUGGAAAUGCAUUUGUCCUCCAGUUUGUCUGUCCUUUUCCAGAUCUUGAAACAGCUGCCCUAGCUGGGGUUUGGGGGGUUAAACACUGGCACCUGCUGUGCCUAGUGCAAGUCAGGAGUGGGGUAACCUGUGAAGGGAGGGGAGGUGUCCUCUCUGAGCCAUAUCCACUGGCCAGACAUCCUCAAUCAGCCAAAGCAUCUGAGCAUCCGCCUGCUGCAAGACUGAGUCUGGCCCCGGCAUCUGAAGCUCAUUAGCGGCCUGCUCCCCAGGGGCUGACCCUGCUUGGCGAAAAUUAUCCCAG
rnacentral:lncRNA from 1 species